rnacentral:rRNA from 1 species
UACGUAGGGGGCAAGCGUUGUCCGGAAUUACUGGGCGUAAAGAGCUCGUAGGUGGUUUGUCGCGUUGUCCGUGAAAACUCACAACUCAAUUGUGGGCGUGCGGGCGAUACGGGCAGACUGGAGUACUGCAGGGGAGACUGGAAUUCCUGGUGUAGUGGUGAAAUGCGUAGAUAUCGGGAGGAACACCAGUGGCGAAGGCGACUUCCUGGCCUGUUCUUGACGCUGAGGCGCGAAAGCUAGGGGAGCAAACGGGG